GGGGAUGUAGCUCAGCGGUAGAGUACGUUCUUUGCAUGUGUGAGGACCUGGGUUCAAUCCCCAGCAUCUCCA